CGUAAUAGCUCACUGGUCGAGUCGGCCUGCGCGGCAGAUGUAACGGGGCUAAACCAUGCACCGAAGCUGCGGCAGCGACACUGUGUGUUGUUGGGUAGGGGAGCGUUCUGUAAGCCUGUGAAGGUGUACUGUGAGGUAUGCUGGAGGUAUCAGAAGUGCGAAUGCUGACAUAAGUAACGAUAAAGCGGGUGAAAAGCCCGCUCGCCGGAA
rnacentral:rRNA from 1 species